rnacentral:lncRNA from 1 species
GGUUCGGAGCUAACCCUUGCUCCUACGUCCACUCCCCAAGUCUCACUUGGAAAUUCACUAUAACCCCUCGGAUUACAGCCGGUUGUUUUACAAGCUCACAACCAAACUUGUUGUUUUACGAGGUCACAACGAACUCGGUCGGUUUUUCCAGGCUCACCGACUAGAACCACCCCGAUUGUUUUUUCGGGAUCACAAUCGAACCCUUACACCGUUGGUUUCAACCUAGGCUCACC